UGCCCCUCGCCCCCAGCUGAAUAUGAGAUUCCAGCCGCUCCACAUCCUCAUGGUACUUGGUGGUGUAAGUUCUUAAAAUUUUUAGCCAUUCAGUGCUUUGCCCGGCUGGAGUAGCUGAGUGGUUGAACAUCGACCUGUGAACCAGGAGAUCACAGUUCGAUUCCCAGUCA